GGAGUCAAGGAGAUGGACUUAUAAAUUGAAUGUGGUCAGCUUGAGAAUCAACUGGAAAAACUGAUAUGAGGGAUUAUGAACGAAGUGCAUGCUAGAGAAAUGUAUGGACAGUAGGCGCCUUUUGCUAAGGAUUUGGAAGACCUUCAUAUUCGUGUGUUGAGUUUGCUGAUUGAAGGGGUUAAAUCUGUUGGAGUUCUUGAUCAGUUUGCCUAAUGUAUGCAUAUUUGAGACGAUUUACAUAAAAUGGGUUAUGUACAAGAACGUACCCUCUUGGUGCAACCCAACUGUUGAACAUUGUGCAAGCCGACUAUUGAACAUGGUGCAACCCGACUGUUGAACAUGAGGCUAUUAGAGAGUACUUUUAAACUUGAACUCGCUUGACAUUUAGGUUUGGGCAACUUCACGAGGUGAACUUAAUGUGAACAAAUUACCGUAUUUGAGUUAAUGUGAACAGACAAACUCAUCUGGCUGGGGUCGUUGGCAACAUUUGGUAAGUAAACUUCAUUAGCAUUGUAUAAAUAUUAACACUACAGUUUUAGAACUGAGUUUCGGAUAAGUGAAGGAAGGGAAUGAUUUUUUAGGUGCUUUCUAUAUAUGGGCAAAGAAGAUAAGAACAGAAAAUUAUUUAGUGUUUGUGAGAGUGGUUUUUUUAAUUGAGUUAAAGAGUUUAGUUGGGGCAAUGCGUUGGAAAUGGUGAAAAUGAAGUCAACCUGUUGUUUCAUUACAUUGGGUUAAGUUUUAUAUAUCAUGUCUUUUUGUGUUCAAAAGGCCCAUUUUUUGAGAUGGUGUAUGGUAAUUUGAAAGUGUGUGGAUAUAUUGCAACAUGUUUGAUUUUGACGAGAGCAACUACCCACGCAUUGCGGCGGUGAGAUGGUGGGGUGAUAGGUCAUAGAGUGUGAUAGGUCAUAGAGAGU